rnacentral:lncRNA from 1 species
ACUUCACGUCGCGGCUUCUCCGGAAAAAUCUAGUUACUAUUCACUUAAGUGAAAACUUGGAGAUCGCGUAACUUCUCCGUUCUAGCUCAGUUUCUCCUGAAACUUGACGAGUGCUUAUGUAAUUAAAUUACACACAUAAACAUCAUCAACAAAGAGUUUAGUUGCACUGUCAAAAACUCAGUCCUUACAUUAAACUUUUAACAGUUAAAGUGACAAGUGGACAUUGACUAGAAUAGUAAAUAAUGACAUCUUUACUAUUUGCAUCGAGGACAUUGUGUUGGUU